GGGGUAUUAGAUGUAGGAUGGUAGUGUUAGAUGUAGGGUGGUGGUAUUAGAUGGUGGCGGUAUUAGAUGUAGGGUGGUGGUGUUAGAUGUAGGGUGGUGUUAGAUAUAGGGUGUGGGUGAUGUUAAAUAUAGGGUGGUGGUGUUAGAUGUAGGGUGGUGGUGUUAGAUAUAGGUUGGUGGUGUUAGAUGUAGGGUGGUGGUGUUAGAUAAGGGUGGUGGUGUUAGAUAUAGGGUGUGGGUGAUGUUAAAUAUAGGGUGGUGGUGCUAGAUAAGGGUCAUGGUGUUAGCUAUAGGUUGGUGGUGUUAGAUAUAGGGUGGUGGUGUUAGAUGUAGGGUGGUGGUG
ensembl:lncRNA